UAGGGUGGCCAACUCCAGCUUAAACCAGUCCUGCAGACAUUCUUCUUUCCACCUCAGUAACUGUAAUCGCAGCUUCACAACAACCCCCACCCAACCGAAUCUCACCGGUCACGGCGGCUCAACGCAUGCGCAGGGAAAGGAGGAUUAGGAGUUUGCGCAAAUUCCAAAUGAAAGAAUUUGCAAUACUGUACAGAGCAUGUGAUUUGAAAUGUUUUGAGGAAGAAAUAGAAAAUCUAAUUUUCAAUGUCUGGUAUCACCUUCUCAUCCAAGAAAUGUUGUAAAUCAUACCUUUUAAAGGCAAAUUGCAGAUGCAGUGGUGUUUAAAAUUUGUGAACUCUCUUGAAUUUUCAAUAUUUUUGCAUGAAUAUGAUCUAAAAUGUUAUCUGUUCUCUACAUGUCUUAAACUUAGAUAAGGAGAAUCCAAUUAAAUAAAUCAAAAAGAUAA